AACGAACGCUGGCGGCAGGCUUAACACAUGCAAGUCGAACGCCCUAGCAAUAGGGAGUGGCAGACGGGUGAGUAACACGUGGGAACCUUCCCUAUAGUACGGAAUAGCCCAGGGAAACUUGGAGUGAUACCGUAUACGCCCGAGAGGGGAAAGAUUUAUCGCUAUAGGAUGGGCCCGCGACGGAUUAGCUAGUUGGUGAGGUAAUGGCUCACCAAGGCAACGAUCCGUAGCUGGUUUGAGAGAAUGACCAGCCACACUGGGACUGAGACACGGCCCAGACUCCUACGGGAGGCAGCAGUGGGGAAUCUUGGACAAUGGGCGCAAGCCUGAUCCAGCCAUGCCGCGUGAGUGAUGAAGGCCUUAGGGUUGUAAAGCUCUUUUGUCGGGGACGAUAAUGACGGUACCCGAAGAAUAAGCUCCGGCUAACUUCGUGCCAGCAGCCGCAGUAA
rnacentral:rRNA from 1 species